UGAUGAUUCAGCACAGGAGAAAUUAAGACAAUAGCCAGCAGAGUCAAAACUGCUCGGAAAUGAUAUUCUGCCCAUGCAAAAACUUAUUGCUAAGUGUGAUGAUGAUACACAACCAAAAAAUUAUUUUGAGACUGCACACAGGCCUCUAUUGAAUCACGUCCUAUCAUGUCGAUCGGUAGCAGGCCCGCUUUGCCGCACGGACGAUAUCUUCAACCUGGGGAAAGCAUAACCUCUCAAGGUUUGCAGCGUACGGUGUGGGAACAUCAGCACCAGCAAUCCUCUCGACCGGUGCGUCUAGAUAUUCAAAGCUUUCCUCGAUAACUGAUGCACAGAUUUCCGCACCCACACCAUGCUGCGGGAGGCCUUCUUCGACAGUGACCAGUCUGUUAGUUUUCCUGACAGACGCAUUUAUCGCAGCACUGUCCAGUGGCCUAAUUGAACGGAGAUUUAUAACCUCGGCACUGAUUCCUUCCUUCGCAAGUAUAUCUGCCGCCUGGAGAGAAUAGCCAACCAUCUUCGAGAAAGCCGUGAUGGUGACAUCCUUCCCUUCUCGUUCAAUUUUAGCUUUCCCAAUGGGAAGGCAGAAACUGGAGUCCAGGACUUCAGCUGAAACAGGAAAAGAUUCUCCAUAUAAUA
rnacentral:misc_RNA from 1 species